GCAGCGUUAUCCGGAAUCAUUGGGCGUAAAGCGCCUGUAGGUUGUUUAAUAAGUCUGUUGUUAAAGACUAGGGCUUAACCCUAGGAAAGCAAUGGAAACUACUAGACUAGAGUAUGGCAGGGGUAGAGGGAAUUUCUAGUGUAGCGGUGAAAUGCGUAGAUAUUAGAAAGAACACCGGUGGCGAAAGCGCUCUACUGGACCAUUACUGACACUCAGAGGCGAAAGCUAGGGUAGCAAAAGGGAUUAGAUACCCCUGUAGUCCUAGCCGUAAACGAUGGAUACUAGAUGUUGUGCAUCCGUACAGUAUCAUAGCUAACGCGUUAAGUAUCCCGCCUGGGGAGUACGCUCGCAAGGGUGAAACUCAAAGGAAUUGACGGGGGCCCGCACAAGCGGUGGAGCAUGUGGUUUAAUUCGAUGCAACGCGAAGAACCUUACCAGGGCUUGACAUACUACAGAUUCUUUAGAGAUAGAGAAGUGCCUUCGGGAAUGUAGAUACAGGUGGUGCAUGGCUGUCGUCAGCUCGUGUCGUGAGAUGUUGGGUUAAGUCCCGCAACGAGCGCAACCCUUAUUUUUAGUUACCAAUUCGUUGGGUUUUCUAGAAAGACUGCCGGUGACAAACCGGAGGAAGGUGAGGAUGACGUCAAGUCAGCAUGCCCCUUAUGUCCUGGGCCACACACGUGCUACAAUGGUUAAGACAAAGAGUCGCGAGCUCGCAAGAGUCAGCUAAUCUCAUAA
rnacentral:rRNA from 1 species